AAAUGUGCACCAUGGUGUUCUGUUUGUGUGUGUGCUGUCUGCGAGUGCUUAGCCGACAUGUAAGUCCCAGUUCCAGUGGACUUAGUGUCUCAUGUGCUGUAUGACCCUUUACCUGGAUUCCAUACCGAGUGAAAAUAGCCAAAUGAUGUCAUAGUUAUUCCUUUUUAUCUCGUGCUCUCCUUGUGGCCCGCUAGGCAAACACUAUUUUCUGCUCAUCCUAGACUUUACACAUUUCCCAACUGUUUCAUAAGCUAUUGUUUCCAUCCACAGAUGGAUCUGUUUUUCUUCCAAGGCCUUGAAGGUAAAAGGACCAGGAAUUGGGCUGCUUGGGACUUCCAAAGGGGGAGAACUUGGCUUUGCUAUGGCCUCCUUCCUGAAGGGCAUCAAAGCUGCCGUGAUCAUCAAUGGCUCUGUGGCUGCUGUUGGGAACACCAUCUACUACAAGGAUGAGACUAUCCCCCCUGUGUCUCUUCUGAGAAAUCGCUUCAAAAUGACCAAAGAUGGUGUCUUGGAUGUCGUGGAUGGUCUGCAGAGCCCUUUGGUAGAGGUGAAGAGCUUCAAUCAGGAGAGCUCUGCCCACUUGAACUUGUCUUACUUUCCAGGUUAUCAUCUAGUCUGAUUCUACCUGGUAAAGGUAGCACUCAUGAACAUGCUGUUAUUGCAUUGUCACAAACCGUGUUUAUUAUGACAUGGUAGGCAGCCAGGUUAUAGGAUUAGAAUGAAAUAUUACAGCUACGAAAUAAAGCCAGACACCAUGGCUCAUAUCUGUAAUCCCAGCAGAGGUUGAAGAAUUAAUGCAGGUUGAAGGUCAGCCUGGGCUCCACAGUGACGGCCAGGACAGCCAGGACUACUGAGACAGACCUUGUCUUUAAAAUAGUAAUGAAAAAUAAAGAAAGAAAAGGAAAAGAGCAA